rnacentral:lncRNA from 1 species
CAUCGAGAAGAUCACUGACGAGUGAGUAAAUAUCUAAGUGGUUUCUAAUGUUAGUCAUGCUCAAUGCAAGUUAUUUCCUAACAACUACUUAUAUUUUUGUCUCAAUAUCUCUACACCGCAGACCUGAGACUCAUCUGCCUGAAAGGGAGGUGAUCUGUACAUCAAUCUCAAAUGGAUUGAUCACUGUCCUUAUGAUGAUCCUUCAAUCAAGAGC